AUUGAACGCUGGCGGCAGGCCUAACACAUGCAAGUCGAGCGAGCGGCGGACGUGUGAGUAAUGUAUGGGGACUGCCCGAUAGAGGGGGAUAACUACUGGAAACGGUAGCUAAUUCCGCAUACUAUCGUAUCACCCAUAUGGGAUUAGCUAGUAGGUGAGGUAAUGGCUCACCUAGGCGACGAUCCCUAGCUGGUCUGAGAGGAUGAUCAGCCACAAUGGGACUGAGACACGGUCCAGACUCCUACGGAGGCAGCAGUGGGGAAUAUGGCACAAUGGGCGAAAGCCUGAUGCAGCCAUGCCGCGUGAAUGAAGAAGGCCCUAGGGUUGUAAAGUACUGUCAGUCGGGAGGCGUUACCGACAGAAGAAGCACCGGCUAACUCCGUGCCAGCCGCCGCGGUAAUUC
rnacentral:rRNA from 1 species